rnacentral:rRNA from 1 species
CCUACGGGCGGCUGCAGUGGGGAAUAUUGCACAAUGGGCGCAAGCCUGAUGCAGCCAUGCCGCGUGUGCGAAGAAGGCCUUCGGGUUGUAAAGCACUUUCAGCGGGGAGGAAGGCGGUGAGGUUAAUAACCUCAUCGAUUGACGUUACCCGCAGAAGAAGCACCGGCUAACUCCGUGCCAGCAGCCGCGGUAAUACGGAGGGUGCAAGCGUUAAUCGGAAUUACUGGGCGUAAAGCGCACGCAGGCGGUCGGUCAAGUCGGAUGUGAAAUCCCCGGGCUCAACCUGGGAACUGCAUUCGAAACUGGCAGGCUAGAGUCUUGUAGAGGGGGGUAGAAUUCCAGGUGUAGCGGUGAAAUGCGUAGAGAUCUGGAGGAAUACCGGUGGCGAAGGCGGCCCCCUGGACAAAGACUGACGCUCAGGUGCGAAAGCGUGGGGAGCAAACAGGAUUAGAUACCCGGGUAGUC